ACUACAGGCACAUGCCACCACACUGGCUAAUUUGUUUUGUAGAGACAGGGCCUCCCUAUGCUGGCCAGGCUGGUUUCAAGCAGUCCACCCGCCUUGGCCUCCCGAAGUGCUAGGAUUACAGGCAUGAGCCACCGUGCCCAGCCCCAAAAAAGCAUUUUUUAAAGGAAUGGCCAGAGCAGUAAGAGGAAAAGCAAGUGAGCAAGUGGGUGUCAUACAUGAAAGCCAAGUGAAGAGAAAGCUCCAAGAGGAAAAAAGAGGACCACAGAGUGGAACAGUGGUGAAAGUUCAAGAAAGAACAGACCAAAAGGGUCCAUUGGAUUAGGAAUGUUAGAGGUCAACACUGACAAGAGAAGUUUCAAGAAGUGGAAGAGAUGAACACCAGCUUGGAAAGUGCUGAAAAGUGAUCUGGAGAUAAGAAAAUGAAGAUGACUAGUAGGCAACAUGGUCAAGAAAUUUGAUUCUAAAGAUGAAGAAAUCAAUGGGAACCUAGAGAGGGACGUGGAAAUAAAUGAAUACUCUUUUUAAUGAAUAUUUAAGAGCAAAAUAAAAGGCAGAGAGAGAGAGAAGAUACUUGAGAGAGCUGGGAUAAAUUACAGUACGAGGACAUUGAAAAAGAGGGAACGGAUUGGACCGUGAGUCCAAGAGUACAAUUCUCAUGACUUAACCUAAGGAACAAUAUUCCUGAGGUAAAAGACUCACAGGGCCAGCCUUGGAAACUUCUUCCAUGUCUCUAUCACCAGAGACUCUGCCAAGGAGAGAGGAAGGCUGCAACAUCAAGCUCUUCCGCAUCCCCUUCAAAACUCCAGGCCAGAUUCUCAAGAGUUGGAUGACUGAGUGACCGUGAACUCCCAUUCACUAUUUUCAGGACAUACUACUGGCCCACCAAAGGUGGAAUGCACUUCCAGUUAAGAACUACAAAUUUGGCUGGGCACGGUGGCUCAUGCCUAUAAUCCCAGCACUUUGGGAGGCCGAGGCGGACGGAUCAUGAGGUCAGGAGAUCAAGACCAUCCUGACUAACACAGUGAAACCCCACCUCUACUAAAAAUAAAAAAAAUUAGACAGACGUGGUGGUGGGCGCCUGUAGUCCCAGCUACUCAGGAGGCUGAGGCAGGAGAAUGGCGUGAACCCGGGAAGCGGAGCUUGCAGUAGCCGAGAUCGCGCCACUGCACUCCAGCCUGGGCGACAGAGUGAAACUCCGUCUCAAUAAAUAAAUAAAUAAAUAAAAUUUUAAAAAAAGAACCAUGAAUGCAGGUCCAUCGUGACCUCUGACCCCAUCACCCAUGUGGCCAAGGAUGUGCAUUUUCAGGACAGCUAGCACAUUUUGGAGGGCAGACUAUAGCUAUGUGAAAAUAAGUAAAAUUUAAAAGCUGCCAGAACCCAGAAAACACCUUGAGAGAGAUGUGACUGUGAUCUGAGUCACAUAGCAUGUAGUUGUAACUUCUGCUUCUUAAAUUAAAUCAAGUCUCUUCCUCAUUGUUCUUGUUCUGUAAAUGACCAGAAAGGACCAGAGACAAGACUUCUUCCUCUUCCAAUCACUGAUCUUUGUUCCAGAUUAACUGCCUCCUUUAUUGUCCUUCACCUAAUUCAACUCAGAUGAUGCAAAAUCUUCAGCAUGGAUUGUUAAAUAUACCUUUCUUGAAAGAAAAAGACAACCUCAAUUCAUCAGAUCAUUGUAACUAUGCAUUAAUCCUUAUAUAGAAAGAUCAUGAAAUUCUGUUAAGCUUCCUUAAUCUAUGUCUGUAUAAAGGGUCCCAUGAUUCUACACUUCAGAACACUGGCUUCCAUUCUUUGGAAUAUGUGCAUCCUAGAUGGUUGAGUGGUCAUCUCAAAGUCUGCACUUGAAUAAACUCUCUUUGAACUCUGACCCUUUUGGUUAUUUUAGGUUGAUAGCUCUAAACCCAAGCAAUGAAUGACCCUCAUACCUAAGAGAGUCACGCUUACCCCAUGUCUUUCAAACUACAUGUGUCUUUUGUAUGUGUAAUCUCCAGUUCUGGAAAACCUUUUUGUGUUGUUGUUUUAAAUGGUAUCCUAGACACUCAAGGGGCAGACCAUAAUGUAUAGCUCUUGCAUUAAUGUGAAUUAAAUGGUAUUUGACCUCAGACCUUAGCAUCAUUAAAAUUACAAAUUGUCU
rnacentral:lncRNA from 10 species